rnacentral:rRNA from 1 species
UACGUAGGGUGCGAGCGUUAAUCGGAAUUACUGGGCGUAAAGCGUGCGCAGGCGGUUCGUUGUGUCCGUCGUGAAAUCCCCGGGCUUAACCUGGGAAUGGCGUCUGAAACUACGGAGCUGGAGUGUGGCAGAGGGAGGUAGAAUUCCACGUGUAGCGGUGAAAUGCGUAGAUAUGUGGAGGAAUACCGAUGGCGAAGGCAGCCUCCUGGGCCAACACUGACGCUCAUGCACGAAAGCGUGGGGAGCAAACAGG